UGGGCGUAAAGCGCGCGUAGGCGGUUAUUUAAGUCAGAUGUGAAAGCCCCGGGCUUAACCUGGGAAUGGCAUUGAGACUGGAUGGCUAGAGUAUGGUAGAGGUGAGUGGAAUUUCAGGUGUAGCGGUGAAAUGCGUAGAGAUCUGAAGGAACAUCAGUGGCGAAGGCGACUCACUGGGCCAUUACUGACGCUGAGGUGCGAAAGCGUGGGUAGCAAACAGGAUUAGAUACCCUGGUAGUCCACGCCCUAAACGAUGUCAACUAGGUGUAUGGAGAAUUUAUUCUUUGUGUAUCGAAGCUAACGCGAUAAGUUGACCGCCUGGGGAGUACGGUCGCAAGACUAAAACUCAAAUGAAUUGACGGGGGCCCGCACAAGCGGUGGAGCAUGUGGUUUAAUUCGAUGCAACGCGAAGAACCUUACCUGGCCUUGACAUGUACGGAAUCUCUUGGAGACGAGAGAGUGCCUUCGGGAACCGUAACACAGGUGCUGCAUGGCU
rnacentral:rRNA from 1 species